rnacentral:rRNA from 1 species
UGGCGGCAUGCCUUACACAUGCAAGUCGAACGGCAGCACGGGUGCUUGCACCUGGUGGCGAGUGGCGAACGGGUGAGUAAUACAUCGGAACGUACCUUAUCGUGGGGGAUAACGCAGCGAAAGUUGCGCUAAUACCGCAUACGCCCUGAGGGGGAAAGCGGGGGACCGUAAGGCCUCGCGCGAUUAGAGCGGCCGAUGUCUGAUUAGCUUGUUGGUGAGGUAAAAGCUCACCAAGGCGAUGAUCAGUAGCUGGUCUGAGAGGACGAUCAGCCACACUGGGACUGAGACACGGCCCAGACUCCUACGGGAGGCAGCAGUGGGGAAUUUUGGACAAUGGGGGCAACCCUGAUCCAGCAAUGCCGCGUGAGUGAAGAAGGCCUUCGGGUUGUAAAGCUCUUUUGUCAGGGAAGAAACAGCAGCUCUAACACAGUCUGCGAAUGACGGUACCUGAAGAAUAAGCACCGGCUAACUACGUGCCAGCAGCCGCGGUAAUACGUAGGGUGCGAGCGUUAAUCGGAAUUACUGGGCGUAAAGCGUGCGCAGGCGGUUAUACAAGACAGGUGUGAAAUCCCCGGGCUUAACCUGGGAAUGGCGUCUGUGACUGUAUAGCUAGAGUGUGUCAGAGGGGGGUGGAAUUCCACGUGUAGCAGUGAAAUGC